CCUACGGGAGGCAGCAGUGAGGAAUUUUCCGCAAUGGGCGAAAGCCUGACGGAGCAAUACCGCGUGAGGGAUGAAGGAUUUUGGUCUGUAAACCUCUUUUCUCAAGAAAGAAGUUCUGACGGUACUUGAGGAAUAAGCAUCGGCUAACUCCGUGCCAGCAGCCGCGGUAAUACGGGGGAUGCAAGCGUUAUCCGGAAUGAUUGGGCGUAAAGCGCCUGUAGGUUGUUUAUUAAGUCCGUUGUUAAAGCCUAGGGCUUAACCCUAGAAAAGCAAUGGAAACUAGUAGACUAGAGUAUGGCAGGGGUAGAGGGAAUUUCUAGUGUAGCGGUGAAAUGCGUAGAUAUUAGAAAGAACACCGGUGGCGAAAGCGCUCUACUGGACCAUUACUGACACUCAGAGGCGAAAGCUAGGGUAGCAAAAGGGAUUAGAUACCCCUGUAGUCCUAGCCGUAAACGAUGGAUACUAGAUGUUGUGCAUUAUGUACAGUAUCGUAGCUAACGCGUUAAGUAUCCCGCCUGGGGAGUACGCUCGCAAGGGUGAAACUUAAAGGAAUUGACGGNUGAGAGNGCGAGCGACACGAGGGAGUUAGG
rnacentral:rRNA from 1 species